CCUGGCUCAGGAUGAACGCUAGCGACAGGCCUAACACAUGCAAGUCGAGGGGCAGCACAAGGAGCAAUCUGAGGUGGCGACCGGCGCACGGGUGAGUAACACGUAUGCAACCUGCCUGUAAGCGGGGAAGUAACCCGUUGAAAGACGGACUAAUACCGCAUAAUACUAAAUUACUGCAUGGUAAUUUAUUUAAACAUUUAUGGCUUACAGAUGGGCAUGCGCAUGAUUAGCUAGUUGGAGAGGUAACGGCUCCCCAAGGCAACGAUCAUUAGGGGUUCUGAGAGGAAGGUCCCCCACACUGGUACUGAGACACGGACCAGACUCCUACGGGAGGCAGCAGUGAGGAAUAUUGGUCAAUGGACGAGAGUCUGAACCAGCCAAGUCGCGUGCAGGAAGAAUUGUCCUAUGGAUUGUAAACUGCUUUUGCAGGGGAAUAAAGUGCAUCACGUGUGAUGUUUUGUAUGUACUCUGCGAAUAAGGAUCGGCUAACUCCGUGCCAGCCGCGGC
rnacentral:rRNA from 1 species